GCGCGGAUAGUGUAGUGGUUAUCACUAGGCNNCUAAACCCGGGUUCGAGUCCCGGUCCGCGCA
rnacentral:tRNA from 1 species